UGGGGAAUAUUGCACAAUGGGGGAAACCCUGAUGCAGCGACGCCGCGUGAGCGAAGAAGGUUUUCGAAUCGUAAAGCUCUGUCCUAUGAGAAGAUAAUGACGGUAUCAUAGGAGGAAGCCCCGGCUAAAUACGUGCCAGCAGCCGCGGUAAUACGUAUGGGGCGAGCGUUGUCCGGAAUUAUUGGGCGUAAAGGGUACGUAGGCGGUCUAUUAAGUCAGGUGUGAAAGCGUGAGGCUUAACCUCAUUAAGCACUUGAAACUGAUAGACUUGAGUGAAGGAGAGGAAAGUGGAAUUCCUAGUGUAGCGGUGAAAUGCGUAGAUAUUAGGAGGAACACCGGUGGCGAAAGCGGCUUUUUGGCCUGCAACUGACACUGAGGCGCGAAAGCGUGGGGAGCAAACAGG
rnacentral:rRNA from 1 species